GCCUGGGUGACUCACUUGGUUAAGUGCCUAACUUUGGCUCAGGUCAGGGUUGUAGGUUUGUGGGUUCAAGCCCUGCCUCGGGCU
rnacentral:tRNA from 1 species